CCGAAACGAAGUGAUCUAUCCAUGAGCAAGUUGAAGCUAGUGUAAGAACUAGUGGAGGACUGAACCCAUAGGCGUUGAAAAGCCCCGGGAUGACUUGUGGAUAGGGGUGAAAGGCCAAUCAAACUUCGUGAUAGCUGGUUCUCUCCGAAAUAUAUUUAGGUAUAGCGUUGUGUCGUAAUAUAAGGGGGUAGAGCACUGAAUGGGCUAGGGCAUACACCAAUGUACCAAACCCUAUCAAACUCCGAAUACCUUAUAUGUAAUCACAGCAGUCAGGCGGCGAGUGAUAAAAUCCGUCGUCAAGAGGGAAACAACCCAGACUACCAGCUAAGGUCCCUAAAUCUUACUUAAGUGGAAAACGAUGUGAAGUUACUUAAACAACCAGGAGGUUGGCUUAGAAGCAGCCAUCCUUUAAAGAAAGCGUAAUAGCUCACUGGUCUAGUGAUUUUGCGCGGAAAAUAUAACGGGGCUAAAGUAAGUACCGAAGCUGUAGACUUGUGCACAACUUAGAUUAUUUAAGUUUAGAAUAUGAGAAACUAAGUUAUAUGUUUAGUUAUAUUUUUACUGAUUUUUAUAGAGUAAAGAUAGAAAUAAAACUUAGUAAAAUCAGUAAAAAUAUUCUUAGAUUAAAGUUAAGUAGUUUAAGUUGUGUGCAAGUGGUAGGAGAGCGUUCUAUUUGCGUCGAAGGUAUACCGGUAAGGAGUGCUGGAGCGAAUAGAAGUGAGCAUGCAGGCAUGAGUAGCGAUAAUUAAUGUGAGAAUCAUUAACGCCGUAAACCCAAGGUUUCCUACGCGAUGCUCGUCAUCGUAGGGUUAGUCGGGUCCUAAGUCGAGUCCGAAAGGGGUAGACGAUGGCAAAUUGGUUAAUAUUCCAAUACCAACAUUAGUGUGCGAUGGAAGGACGCUUAGGGCUAAGGGGGCUAGCGGAUGGAAGUGCUAGUCUAAGGUCGUAGGAGGUUAUACAGGCAAAUCCGUAUAACAAUACUCCGAGAACUGAAAGGCUUUUUGAAGUCUUCGGAUGGAUAGAAGAACCCCUGAUGCCGUCGAGCCAAGAAAAGUUUCUAAGUUUAGCUAAUGUUGCCCGUACCGUAAACCGACACAGGUGGGUGGGAUGAGUAUUCUAAGGCGCGUGGAAGAACUCUCUUUAAGGAACUCUGCAAAAUAGCACCGUAUCUUCGGUAUAAGGUGUGGUUCGCUUCGUAUUAGGAUUUACUCCGAAAGCGAAGAAACUUACAACAAAGAGUCCCUCCCGACUGUUUACCAAAAACACAGCACUCUGCUAACUCGUAAGAGGAUGUAUAGGGUGUGACGCCUGCCCGGUGCUCGAAGGUUAAUUGAUGGGGUUAGCAUUAGCGAAGCUCUUGAUCGAAGCCCGAGUAAACGGCGGCCGUAACUAUAACGGUCCUAAGGUAGCGAAAUUCCUUGUCGGUUAAAUACCGACCUGCAUGAAUGGCGUAACGAGAUGGGAGCUGUCUCAAAGAGGGAUCCAGUGAAAUUGUAGUGGAGGUGAAAAUUCCUCCUACCCGCGGCAAGACGGAGAGACCCCGUGGACCUUUACUACAGCUUGACACUGCUAUUUGGAUAAGAAUGUGCAGGAUAGGUGGGAGGCUUUGAGUAUAUGACGCCAGUUGUAUAUGAGCCAUUGUUGAGAUACCACUCUUUCUUAUUUGGGUAGCUAACCAGCUUGAGUUAUCCUCAAGUGGGACAAUGUCUGGUGGGUAGUUUGACUGGGGCGGUCGCCUCCCAAAUAAUAACGGAGGCUUACAAAGGUUGGCUCAGAACGGUUGGAAAUCGUUCGUAGAGUAUAAAGGUAUAAGCCAGCUUAACUGCAAGACAUACAAGUCAAGCAGAGACGAAAGUCGGUCUUAGUGAUCCGGUGGUUCUGUGUGGAAGGGCCAUCGCUCAAAGGAUAAAAGGUACCCCGGGGAUAACAGGCUGAUCUCCCCCAAGAGCUCACAUCGACGGGGAGGUUUGGCACCUCGAUGUCGGCUCAUCGCAUCCUGGGGCUGGAGCAGGUCCCAAGGGUAUGGCUGUUCGCCAUUUAAAGCGGUACGCGAGCUGGGUUCAGAACGUCGUGAGACAGUUCGGUCCCUAUCUGCCGUGGGCGUAAGAAGAUUGAAGAGAUUUGACCCUAGUACGAGAGGACCGGGUUGAACAAACCACUGGUGUAGCUGUUGUUCUGCCAAGAGCAUCGCAGCGUAGCUAAGUUUGGAAAGGAUAAACGCUGAAAGCAUCUAAGCGUGAAGCCAACUCUAAGAUGAAUCUUCUCUAAGCUCUCUAGAAGACUACUAGUUUGAUAGGCUGGGUGUGUAAUGGAUGAAAGUCCUUUAGCUGACCAGUACUAAUAGAGCGUUUGGCUUAUCUUUAAUAAAGCAU
rnacentral:rRNA from 1 species